rnacentral:rRNA from 1 species
UACGGAGGGGGCUAGCGUUGUUCGGAAUUACUGGGCGUAAAGCGCACGUAGGCGGAUAUUUAAGUCAGGGGUGAAAUCCCGGGGCUCAACCCCGGAACUGCCUUUGAUACUGGGUAUCUGGAGGUCGAGAGAGGCGAGUGGAAUUCCGAGUGUAGAGGUGAAAUUCGUAGAUAUUCGGAGGAACACCAGUGGCGAAGGCGGCUCACUGGCCCGGUACUGACGCUCAGGUGCGAAAGCGUGGGGAGCAAACAGG